GACGGAGGAUGCAAGUGUUAUCCGGAAUCACUGGGCGUAAAGCGUCUGUAGGUGGUUCGAAAAGUCCACUGUUAAAAAUUGAGGCUUAACCUCAAAGAUGCCGUGGAAACUUUCAAACUAGAGUAUGGUAGGGGUAGAGGGAAUUUCCAGUGGAGCGGUGAAAUGCGUAGAUAUUGGAAAGACCACCGAUGGCGAAGGCA
rnacentral:rRNA from 1 species